UACGGGGGGGGCAAGCGUUGUUCGGAAUUACUGGGCGUAAAGGGUGCGUAGGCGGUCCGCUAAGUUGGAUGUGAAACUCUGGGCUUAACCCAGAGCCUGCAUUCAAAACUGACGGGCUAGAGUUCUGGAGGGGGUAGCGGAAUUCCUGGUGUAGCGGUGAAAUGCGUAGAUAUCAGGAGGAACACCGGUGGCGAAGGCGGCUACCUGGACAGAAACUGACGCUGAGGCACGAAAGCUAGGGGAGCAAACAGG
rnacentral:rRNA from 1 species